GCACCGAGACCGCUCCUCACCAACAUGCCCAUCUAUCCUCCCGAUGCCGCCCUCCAGCCUCCACCCGAGAUCCCAUGGCGCGCUACGUUGCCGCUCCAGCUGGCCGGUCAAGAGGUGCGCACAGGCUACAACAUGAAUCGGGAGAGCUGUGUACCAUCGUCUCCCAUGGAUCUUCCUCGGCUCUGGCUUCCUGGCCUGAAGGCGGAUAAACAGCGAUGGCCUUCGCGUGGUCCAAGGUGGCACGCCUGCAGCUGGCGGUGGAUAGCUCGCUGCCCUACUGCUCUCUAUCCUAAUCGGCUCCCCUUGGCCUUCCCCAGCUUCGGCCCCGGCUGCCGGUCCCCUCCAUCUGCCCGACAACCGUCCCUCCGCUGCUGCGUUCUUGCAAGGUAUUCCGUGCAGGUCUGUGGUGAGGACACAAAUUUGGGCAUCUAGCUCCUUGCAUGAAUGUGCAAGGAAUUCAGAACCUGCAUCUUUUCUUCAAUAUAACAUGGUAUAUUUAUCUGUGAUCUCUCCUUGAUGUUGUGUUGCAUUUUUCUUGAUGGAAGUAAUUUUGGUUUAAUUUCACAUGAUGAUAAAGAAAUAAACACAUGACAUGCUGAAUAGCUGACAUACAGAGGAAAUGCUAUAGCUUGAUGAUUAUUGCAGUACUACAUUAUUUUCAGGUUGCCGAAAGUAGGGCGCUCAGCCAUUGAGGCAUUAUCACUUUUUUAAGAAGCUUUGCAAAAUCUGCUCUUAUACUAAAGAAAACUAAUGUAAGUUUGUUAGCCUUAUAGGGUACUAAUAUGCUGAACACAUGAUAUUAAAUAUAUAGUACAUUGCACUGUGAAGUGAGUAUGUAUAUACUAUCCGAACAGGAUUCUGUAUGUCAUACUUGACUUCAUCAUGCUUUGUUUUCAGAUGUAUUCUUUAGGCAUACACUAAUGUGGUAGCUUGGUCAUAUUCUGUAGCUAAUUUAGUUACCACAAUACUCAGGAUUUUUUUUCCCGGCUUUCAAUAUAUAAAUAACUUCCACUUGCCAUUUCACAUGAUAAGCACUACAUUCCAUUUAUUUAUGCCCUACAACUUAUUAUUUUGGAUAGGCACAACUGAAGUCUUGAGUUUUUGAGUAUCAUAGAAGAACCACAUUUCUUUUUGUAGCGAUAGAACAAAUUGAUCAACAUUCGACCUUUUUCAGCUAUUAUAGGAACACUAAGAUGCACAAAAUCAACCUGUGUUAGGGCCAAUGGUCCUUUCCAAAUGUGAAAUCUUGCAUGUGUUAUUUAUCAAUUCCAAAAGGUGAUGGUUGUGUUAUUACGUUAGAAAAGAGGUACUUGUACAAUUUUGCGACUGAUUUUGGCUAAGGGUUUUUCGGUUCUCAUCUCUAUAUGGAUAUACAUUUUUCAGGUUAGUGGUUUAGGGGUUCCUGCCAAGACUGGAUUUUGGAAUCUAUCCUCGCUUCACCAGUUGGGCUUAACAAGGACAUAAUUAAUUCUUUGUUGGUUAGUAGUACGGGACUUCCUGUCAAGAACAACUUUUGGAAGUUAAGCUAGCUUCAUCAGUUGGGAUUUCUGUAUAAAA